UAUCACAUUAGUGGAUGUAGCAGAUGUAGUAGUAGGUGUAGGUGUAGUAGUUGUGGUAGGUGUAGGUGUGAAAGUUGUAGUAGCUUUUGUUGUUGUAACAGUGUUUGGAGACAAAGAACCAUCAGAACAAACAUAUUGGGAAGGAUUAUAGCAUGCACCAUUACAACUCAAGUAAUCCACUCCGUCUAUUAUAGGACAUAACUGAUCAUUGUCACAAUAAUAAGAGGAUGCGUCGUAGUAGUUAGAGCCACAUAGUUGCAUGCCAGUUGACUGUGCGGUAGUAGUUGUUGAAGUUGUAGUAGGUGUGGGUGUUAUUGAGGAAGUAGUUGUGGGAGUAGGCGUAAUGGAGGAAGUGGUCGAUGAAGAUUGAACAGGGCCCAAAGCUCCAUUGUCGCAGCCAUAUUGCGAAGGGUUAUAGCAAGCUCCGUUGCAGUUUUGAUAUGAUACACCAUUAACAAUAGGGCAGAGUACAGUUCCGUCGCAUACAUACAAACUUGCAUCAAACGUAGCACCAUUACAAGUACCAGAGAUGCUUGUAGUAGUAGGAGUCGAAGUAUAGGAUAUAGGUAGUGUACAACUGGCAGUUGCAGUAGUAGAGGUUGUCGUAACACUUCCGGUACUCGUAGAGGUCGUGGUGGUAGAAGAAGAGCUAACAGGAUAAUAAACGGCAUCAUUAGCCCAUAAGCCAGCGGCAUAAGCCAAAUACCAGGCACGAGAGGCCCCGUCAUCUAAGUAAUCGGUAUUAAAAUCAGAACUGGAGAAAUAUUCAUAACUUUCUUCAGGUUCAGCAAUAGCUAGAUUAGCAUAUAAAAGACUUCUCCAACCGCUAUCUACAUAGUCAAUGACACUAGCAAGUAAGGCAUUCCAUUCAGCUAGUACAAAGCUAGGACCACGGAUAAAAGCUGAAAUUGGAGUGAUAGGCAACAUAUGAAUUCCUUGGAUGUACUCAAUAUUAGUACCAAAAUAGGUAGUGUGAGUAAUUUUGUUCAUGAAUGUAAUACCGGCAACAUAAUUAGGUUGCAUAGAAGUGGGCUGGACGUUUCCAUCAGCAUACAGCAUGUACUUAUUCAAAGCAUUUCUUUCAAUGCCCAAAAUAAUGUUUGCGCGAUCCUCCAUAUCAGAAUCGCCAAUUACUUGACCCCAAAGUUUCAUACCGAAAAAGAAGUUAUAAUCUUCGGACGUUGAUUCUUCAUCCUUGCCAUCAUUAGACUCAAACAAACCAGAUGCCCAACCAUGACCAUGAUAAAUAUCAAUCAUUCGGUGCUUUGGAAAGUAAGGAUCAUUUGAUGAUGGAUUGGCAACAUCACGAACUAGAAAGUUAACCCAUUCCUUAUUGUUCCCAGUGUUAAUCCAGUCAGGAUCAAUAUGACCAAUUACAGCAGCAGUGAAAACAAAAUAACCAUAAUGGAAAUGGUGAUCAUUAUAGUAGCUGUUACCAAAAUCAGCCAAGGAAUCACCAGAUAGACCAGCUACACUGACAACUCCUUUCCAAGUGUUAUCAUAAGUCAGAGGGUAAAUUUGCUGAUUGUCAACAAAACGGGCAAAAGCAGCCUCUAGUUUUUGAAUACAUUGUUCGCUGCUGGUCUCAUCACCAAGAAUAUCAUUAAUUGUAACACACAGCAUUGCAUACUUAGCCAAAACUUUGCCAGAAUAGUACAUUGAAUUCAAAUUAGAGUUGGCAGAGAAGUCUUCGCCCAAUUCAGUACCAGCAACCUCAGCGAUGAUCUCUAAUGCUUCUUCCGAAUAACCAAUCUGACCACCUGUCGGCGACCAUGGAAGAAAACCAAUGUCCUGAGGAAUAGCUUCGGCGAAUGUUAUAGAGUUUCCAGCUGCGGCAUUCAUAUCACCACUUACUAGAGAAGCCAAAACAAUGGAUGUAACUUUGGUACCACUGACAGCUGUAUCCACUUGAUGAGGCAAUAAGAAAAAUAGAGGCUCUACUGAAGUAUCCCCAGCAGUCGUAAAAUCAAACGAGUAAUAACCAACAGCAUCCUCAACAUAUCCGGAAAUACUAAUACCGGUAAUAUAGACACCCGCAUAAGUGUCAUAAAGAGCUUCAGCGGUGCCAUCUCCAAGAGGAAUUUUCGCGAUUUGAAUGUAACCAUUGAAAGUGUUGCUUCCAACAAGCAUUUGAGAUGUGGAUUCAGUCAACGUAAGGCUAUCCCCAUAAAUGUAAAUAAGCCAAACGUGGUUAUCAGACAUCGUGACACGAUACUUUUGAACAGCAGAAGUACCCGGCACUUCGACAAAGUCAUUGAUAUAAAGAGUGGAUGAAAAAAUUUGAGGAAUAGCAUUAGUGUAGACAGCAGUAGUAACGGCCAUACCCUCAGUCAAAGUAAGUUGCAUAGACGAAGAGUCCCAAGAGAAAGUAAAGCGAGCAGACAUCUGAUCAAUCUCGUCGACAAUUGGGUCAGUAUUAGAGGUAAUACCAGAAGCACCAAAUCCGAGCGAACAAAUACCGAUGGGUUCAUAAUAAUAGGAAGGGAUUGUAUCGUCCGUAUCCAUUACACGUUGAUUGUCAUCGGUAUGAGCAAUACAAAUGCCACCCAUCGUGUCUGAAGACUGCCACCAAUAUCUGAAGGGAUCAGCAUACAUGAAAUUAGUACGAGAACCAAGUAAAUUAUUAUCAAAAAAUUUGUUAGUUUCAAUAGGGGAGCUCAAGCUGUCAGUACUGACGCCGGCAGGAGUAACUGGGUGCGAAACGGUGCCGAAAUAACUGGCUGGGUUGAUAGUAUCAACAACAGAGUCGAAAACAUUGGUAUCACGUUUUUUUAAGCUAAUAUUAGAGCCUGUGGAAAAUUUGGUAUCCUUGGUAUCCUUAAGGAUUGGCGAGCAUUGUGCCAAACUUAUGGUCAAAAGACCAAAUAUAAAAGAACGUAAAUAGGAACUCAUAGUUCCUAACAAUAAAGUAAGUGAAAAGAUAGCAAACCAAAAAUGACUAAAAGGAAAGACAGAGAAAAUAAAAGAUUUAAACUAAAAUUGCUAAAGUAACAAAAAAAAAUGAAACAAAGAAUGAGGAAAUCAAAAAGGUAAUACAAUAAUUAAGAAGAAGCUGCUUAAGGAUUUAUUAGACUCCAAUAUCCAAUGUUAUUAUGAUAGUUAAGUGGAUAUGGAUUAGUAAAUUCUUAAGUUUUCCAGAUUAGGUAUCACUUGGGUUUCA